rnacentral:rRNA from 1 species
GACGAACGCUGGCGGCGUGCUUAACACAUGCAAGUCGAACGGAAAGGCCCUGCUUUUGUGGGGUGCUCGAGUGGCGAACGGGUGAGUAACACGUGAAUGACCUGCCCUUGACUUUGGGAUAACUUCAGGAAACUGGGGCUAAUACCGGAUAGGAGCUCCUGCUGCAUGGUGGGGGUUGGAAAGUUUCGGCGGUUGGGGAUGGACUCGCGGCUUAUCAGCUUGUUGGUGGGGUAGUGGCUUACCAAGGCUUUGACGGGUAGCCGGCCUGAGAGGGUGACCGGCCACAUUGGGACUGAGAUACGGCCCAGACUCCUACGGGAGGCAGCAGUGGGGAAUAUUGCACAAUGGGCGGAAGCCUGAUGCAGCAACGCCGCGUGCGGGAUGACGGCCUUCGGGUUGUAAACCGCUUUCGCCUGUGACGAAGCGUGAGUGACGGUAAUGGGUAAAGAAGCACCGGCUAACUACGUGCCAGCAGCCGCGGUGAUACGUAGGGUGCGAGCGUUGUCCGGAUUUAUUGGGCGUAAAGGGCUCGUAGGUGGUUGAUCGCGUCGGAAGUGUAAUCUUGGGGCUUAACCCUGAGCGUGCUUUCGAUACGGGUUGACUUGAGGAAGGUAGGGGAGAAUGGAAUUCCUGGUGGAGCGGUGGAAUGCGCAGAUAUCAGGAGGAACACCAGUGGCGAAGGCGGUUCUCUGGGCCUUUCCUGACGCUGAGGAGCGAAAGCGUGGGGAGCGAACAGGCUUAGAUACCCUGGUAGUCCACGCUGUAAACGGUGGGUACUAGGUGUGGGGUCCAUUCCACGGGUUCCGUGCCGUAGCUAACGCUUUAAGUACCCCGCCUGGGGAGUACGGCCGCAAGGCUAAAACUCAAAGGAAUUGACGGGGCCCCGCACAAGCGGCGGAGCAUGCGGAUUAAUUCGAUGCAACGCGUAGAACCUUACCUGGGUUUGACAUGGAUCGGGAGUGCUCAGAGAUGGGUGUGCCUCUUUUGGGGUCGGUUCACAGGUGGUGCAUGCCUGUCGUCAGCUCGUGUCGUGAGAUGUUGGGUUAAGUCCCGCAACGAGCGCAACCCUUGUUCACUGUUGCCAGCACGUUAUGGUGGGGACUCAGUGGAGACCGCCGGGGUCAACUCGGAGGAAGGUGGGGAUGACGUCAAGUCAUCAUGCCCCUUAUGUCCAGGGCUUCACGCAUGCUACAAUGGCUGGUACAGAGAGUGGCGAGCCUGUGAGGGUGAGCGAAUCUCGGAAAGCCGGUCUCAGUUCGGAUUGGGGUCUGCAACUCGACCUCAUGAAGUCGGAGUCGCUAGUAAUCGCAGAUCAGCAACGCUGCGGUGAAUACUUUCCCGGG